GAGGUAAAGUAUUGAAAAUUUGAGAGAUUGGUGAUAAUAAUUAGAGAACUAGCUUUAAGUUCUUUUUAUAGGCAUAAGGCUUAUUUUUGUAGGAUUUGUGAGGGCUUUUUAAUUUUUAUUCAAAAUUCGGAUUUAUAUUGGUGAUUUGGAUUUUAUGUAAUAUAAUUAGGGCUAGCACUUUUGGCUAGUUUGUGAAAUUGAUGUAAUAUCUAUAGUUCAAAAUUUGGUACUGUCUUGAUUUUUAGGUCUGCUAAGUAUACAAAAAAAAUUUAUUAAUCUAAUAGUUUGGUUUAAAGAUAUCUGAUUUUUAGUUGAAGAGGAUUUCAGAAGUUGGUAGUUUGAGUUGCGUAGGGUUUCUAUGAUAUCUAAAGUUCUACUAAUUGGAUCAAGGUGAAAUUUGGCAUGAUAUUAGAAGACUUAAAGAUGAAGCUAAAAGCUAAUUUUGAGUUGAAAUUAAUAGUUGAAGAAGUAGAAAUCACUGUUGGAACUUCUACAUCACCUUUCAAGUUGGUGACUAAGUGACAUCACUACAAUUUUUUGAGAUUUUCUUAUAAUUUGUAAGUUGGAUU
rnacentral:lncRNA from 1 species